ACUUGGUUUUACUAAAAGCUAGCUUGCUAAUCUGUCCCUCUCAAUAUUGGAUGCAUAUGAAAUGUAUACAAUUAAACUACAUUAUUGAUUUGAAAAGAAAGGACAGGAUUAUAUGCUUUUCUCAAUCAAGCAGUAAACUUUUCUCGAUGUUGCAAUUGCUUCCAUUUGCCAUACGCUAUGGGUCCGGGUUAGCAUGCAUGCUUAAUCAACCCAUGAAUGGCCACGAUCAUAUGACCUGAAUUAUACCAAAGCAAAUCAUGGCCAACAUGGGGGUA
rnacentral:lncRNA from 1 species